rnacentral:rRNA from 1 species
GACGAACGCUGGCGGCGUGCUUAACACAUGCAAGUCGAACGGAGAGGCCCUGCUUUUGUGGGGUGCUCGAGUGGCGAACGGGUGAGUAACACGUGAGUAACCUGCCCUUGACUUUGGGAUAACUUCAGGAAACUGGGGCUAAUACCGGAUAGGAGCUCCUGCUGCAUGGUGGGGGUUGGAAAGUUUCGGCGGUUGGGGAUGGACUCGCGGCUUAUCAGCUUGUUGGUGGGGUAGUGGCUUACCAAGGCUUUGACGGGUAGCCGGCCUGAGAGGGUGACCGGCCACAUUGGGACUGAGAUACGGCCCAGACUCCUACGGGAGGCAGCAGUGGGGAAUAUUGCACAGUGGGCGGAAGCCUGAUGCAGCAACGCCGCGUGCGGGAUGACGGCCUUCGGGUUGUAAACCGCUUUCGCCUGUGACGAAGCGUGAGUGACGGUAAUGGGUAAAGAAGCACCGGCUAACUACGUG